CGAGAUGCUGCGCAGCCUCCCAGUGUCCGUGUCAGCCGCGGAUGCAGACUUCAUGACUGUGAUGUGGUGGCGGAGGAUGGUUCCACAGGCACUAGUGACUAGAGCCCAGACAUGGACAUGCACGCGUGGCCAUCCACAGAUGAAUGGAUUCAGAGGCAGUGGUCCCUGUACACGAUGACCUAUGACUCAGUCAGGAACCAGAACAGCAUAUGCCACCUGCCACCACAGUGAUGGAAUGAGAAACGCUCAUAUGAAGGGACAUAUGCCUGAAAGAGAAGGACGCAUACCUUUGGCUACCCCUUCUAACUGGCAUUUAAGCCAUGACACAUAUGAACCUUUCAACAGAAAAGUAACUCCAGGACUGGAUAACAGACUUGAGGGUACCAGAGUGGAGGGUGAGCAUGUGGGAAGGUCUGGGAUUUGUGGGGUGAGAGAUGCAAAGCCUUGCCCAUGGGGUGGGUAAGCCAUGAGGUCCUGUGCUAGAGCACAGGCAACUAACUGUGUCUGACCCCUUGUUUUGGAACGAGUUGGAGGAUAAUGGGAGAGAAAGGUUUUGUAUACACACGUUCCACUAAAUCUCGCUGCUGUUAAAGAGACAGAACACUGUAAAUCAUCGCUGAUGGUAAUCAAACAUGAUAAGAAAUUCUAACCCAAAAGGACCAGCUCGGCGUUCCCCAGGGAAGGGGUCUGGGUCCAGAGUCCAGCUUCUUGAGAAAAGAAGAAAAAAAAAAA